GCGUGUCUGAGUUCUCAUAAAUUAUUAGCAAAGGAAAUACCGAAAUAUUGGACUGCUAGAACAACCGUCGUGUUUCUCCUUUUCUUCGUAUUCGUCCUUCAAUCCUAUCAGAGGAAUCUAAUGGCAUCGCGAGACAAGAAACCAGUAAAACCAUCCAGCAGUCGUGCCGGCGGUAUCCGCGCUCUCUCCGAUCUUAACAGGCACGCCGGCCCCGAUUCCGACAGCGACGAUGAUGCUCCUCAAGAGUACUACAC
rnacentral:misc_RNA from 1 species